UGUAUGCAUUACGUUCAUUUAUGUUAUACACUCCAAAGGAUAUCUGAAAUUUAUUGGUUUCCAUGCAUAUCGGGGCAUUGUUAUUAGUCUAAGGACUUAUGAAAAUUUUUCAGUUGCCAACCGCCAUUGCUUCUAAAUGGAUUUUUGUCGUCCGAGGAUAUUUUGCUGGAUUUUCCUAAUUUCGAUUUUGCCAUUCCUGUCUGAACGGAUCCGGAUAACUCGAAACAGUGGAGGAACUUCGGGAACAACUUGGAACCUCGCCAGGAUUCCGAGAAUUUUCUAAUUGAGAUUUUGUCAUCAACGGAAACAUAAAAUUACUGCAUCCGGAAAACUUCGAAUGGUGGAGGAACCUCAGGAGCACUUGGGAGCCUUGCUAGGAACUGCUGGUG